AUUGAACGCUGGCGGAAUGCUUUACACAUGCAAGUCGAGCGGCAGCACGGGGGCAACCCUGGUGGCGAGCGGCGAACGGGUGAGUAAUACAUCGGAACAUGCCCAGUCGUGGGGGAUAACACUUCGAAAGAAGUGCUAAUACCGCAUACGUCCUGAGGGGGAAAGCGGGGGAUCGCAAGACCUCGCGCGAUUGGAGUGGCCGAUGUCAGAUUAGCUAGUUGGUGGGGUAAAGGCCUACCAAGGCAACGAUCUGUAGCUGGUCUGAGAGGAUGAUCAGCCACACUGGGACUGAGACACGGCCCAGACUCCUACGGGAGGCAGCAGUGGGGAAUUUUGGACAAAGGGGGCAACCCUGAUCCAGCCAUUCCGCGUGAGUGAAGAAGGCCUUCGGGUUGUAAAGCUCUUUCGGCAGGAAAGAAACGGUGAGCUCUAACAUAGCUUGCUAAUGACGGUACCUGAAGAAGAAGCACCGGCUAACUACGUG
rnacentral:rRNA from 1 species